rnacentral:tRNA from 1 species
GAAAAUUUAGUUAAUUUAUAACAUUAGUAUGUCAAACUAAAAUUAUUUCCAAUAAAUAUUUUUCU